GGAAAUUUUAUUUCUAGUGAUUGGAAUGAUGGGAAUUUAAACCCCUUUCAGAGUAACAAUUGGAGGGCAAGUCUGGUGCCAGCAGCCGCGGUAAUUCCAGCUCCAAUAGCGUAUAUUAAAGUUGUUGCAGUUAAAAAGCUCGUAGUUGGAUGUCUGCUGGAAGCAAUCAGUCCGCCCUAUUUGUAGGGUGUGCACUUGAUGAAUUCUGGCAUCUAUGUCCCAAUAAUAUGAUGGUGUAUACCCUGUGUACACCCAUCUAUAUUGGGAUAAUACCGUUACUUUGAGAAAAUUAGAGUGUUUGAAGCAGGCUAAUUGCCUUGAAUACUGCAGCAUGGAAUAACAAUAUAGGAUUUCGGUUCUAUUUUGUUGGUUUCUAGGACUGAAAUAAUGAUUAAUAGGGACAGUUGGGGGCAUUCGUAUUUAACUGUCAGAGGUGAAAUUCUUAGAUUUGUUAAAGACGAACUACUGCGAAAGCAUUUGCCAAAGAUGUUUUCAUUAAUCAAGAACGAAAGUUAGGGGCUCGAAGACGAUCAGAUACCGUCGUAGUCUUAACCAUAAACUAUGCCGACUAGAGAUAGGAAAA
rnacentral:rRNA from 1 species